rnacentral:rRNA from 1 species
CUUGCUCCGGUGUCCUUAGUGGCAGACGGGAGAGUAACGCGUGGGAAUUUGCCCGAUAGUACGGAAUAACCAUUGGAAACGAUGGCUAAUACCGUAUACGCCCUCCGGGGGAAAGAUUUAUCGCUAUCGGAUAAGCCCGCGUCGGAUUAGCUAGUUGGUGGGGUAAAAGCUCACCAAGGCGACGAUCCGUAGCUGGUCUGAGAGGACGAUCAGCCUCACUGGGACUGAGACACGGCCCAGACUCCUACGGGAGGCAGCAGUGGGGAAUAUUGGACAAUGGGGGCAACCCUGAUCCAGCCAUGCCGCGUGAGUGAAGAAGGCCCUAGGGUUGUAAAGCUCUUUCAGCAGGGAAGAUGAUGACGGUACCUGCAGAAGAAGCCCCGGCCAACUCCGUGCCAGCAGCCGCGGUAAU